AGAAUCCAGGGGUCACGGAAAGACUCCAGGCCUCGCUGAGUGUGGUCACGUGACAUAGUAACACUCUCAUUUCCCGGAUUCUGUUGUCCUGUGGCUGCAUCCUGUCCUCACCUUGAAGCGCUCAUGGAC
rnacentral:lncRNA from 1 species